ACAGUUUCCAAGGUGCUGCAUGGUGUCGUCAAGCUCGUGCCGUGAGGUGUUAGGUUAAGUCCUGCAACGAGCGCAACCCCUGUCACUAGUUGCUAGCAUUAAGUUGAGGACUCUAGUGAGACUGCCUACGCAAGUAGAGAGGAAGGUGGGGAUGACGUCAAAUCAUCACGGCCCCUUACGUCUUGGGCCACACACGUAAUACAAUGGCCGGUACAGAGGGCAGCUACACAUGCGAUGUGAUGCAAAUCUCGAAAGCCGGUCUCAGUUCGGAUUGGAGUCUGCAACUCGACUCUAUGAAGCUGGAAUCGCUAGUAAUCGCGCAUCAGCCAUGGCGCGGUGAAUACGUUCCCGGGCCUUGUACACACCGCCCGUCAAGCCAGGAAGUCUGGGGUACCUGAAGUCGGGACCGUAAAAGGAGCUGCU
rnacentral:rRNA from 1 species